GACGAACGCUGGCGGCGUGCUUAACACAUGCAAGUCAAACGGAAAGGCCCUGCUUUUGUGGGGUGCUCGAGUGGCGAACGGGUGAGUAACACGUGAGUAACCUGCCCUUGACUUUGGGAUAACUUCAGGAAACUGGGGCUAAUACCGGAUAGGAGCUCCUGCUGCAUGGUGGGGGUUGGAAAGUUUCGGCGGUUGGGGAUGGACGCGCGGCUUAUCAGCUUGUUGGUGGGGUAGUGGCUUACCAAGGCUUUGACGGGUAGCCGGCCUGAGAGGGUGACCGGCCACAUUGGGACUGAGAUACGGCCCAGCCUCCUACGGGAGGCAGCAGUGGGGAAUAUUGCACAAUGGGCGGAAGCCUGAUGCAGCAACGCCGCGUGCGGGAUGACGGCCUUCGGGUUGUAAACCGCUUUCGCCUGUGACGAAGCGUGAGUGACGGUAAUGGGUAAAGAAGCACCGGCUAACUACGUG
rnacentral:rRNA from 1 species